rnacentral:lncRNA from 1 species
UGAGGCUAUGUAGAAUAGAUAUUAGUUUGUUUCUGUAAGAUAUUGAUAAAAUAGACUAAUAGUCCAUAGAAUAGUCAAUUCAGGAGGACGGAUGAUUGAUUUAAUUAUUAAAAGCGAUUUAUUACAAGAUUACGAUUAGAAUCUGGAAAUCAGGAGAAAUUAUAUAGGAAUUGUAGAAGUUUAUUGGAGUACGAGACUGUGAUAGUCAUGAGUCGAGGUAAGCUUAGUGUUACCUCUUUGUUUCUUUUUAUUUCUUUGUUAUUGAAGAAUAAUGGAUAGUUUUUGAAUACUGAGAAGUGAGUCUAAAGAAUAAAUCAGGGAUUGAUUUAUGAGUUAUUGAUUAUAUAAUUGGAGUAUUAUGUGAUUGAAUUAUAUGAAAAGUUAUUGAAAGAUUGAUUAUAGAUAGAAGAUUAUGAUUGUUGUUUAUUGAGAGUUGUGUGUGUGUUUGGACAGAGGAAGUCUAUUGUAGAAUAAGUAGUUAUUUUCAGAAUGUAGAUACCUAGUGUAUAGUAUAAACAAGGAUAGAUAACUGCUAAAAAGAUGGUUCAACAGGUAGAAUAGAUGAAUAAUCAUGAAAAGUAGUUAUCAUCCGUAGUAUAGGAGUUGGUAUCUCGGGAUAGUAUAAGGAGAAUGGGAGAGAGGAAGAAAAUGCCAGACUGCGAUAGUAGUGAGCUAGGGAUAAGCUUGGUGCUAUCUCUUCUUCUUAGUUUUCUUGUUUCUUUUGUGUUAGUAUUGAUUCUAGUGAAGAAAAUCGAUUUAAUGAAUCAAUGUUUGAUUUAUGAAGUUGUUUAUGGAUCACUGUUUAUCAAUUGUUGUGAAAGAUUGAUGAUGUAUGGAAGUUUUUAGUCACUAUUUAUCACAAGGUUGUAAGUUCAGUGGAGAAGAAUUGUAAUCGAAGGAAUUAUCUAGAUCAGAUUCUAUAGAUUGGAAGUUAUUCGUUCCAGGGUUUGGGUUAUGUUUGUAUAUUUGUGAAUUACAUAGGGUACUGAAAUUGAUGUCGUGGUUGUUAUCGUAUUGAUAUGAGAGAAUGGACAGUAGGAGAAAAAAUUAAGUGUUCUUUGGUAUGGUAAGCAUUCAACAGUAGCGGUUAAU